UCCGCCAUUCACUGUUUCUGAUACCUGCCCACAUAUAUAUUGCCUUCCAAUAAAAGCUGAACAAGAAUCAUGGUGAUUCGAGAAAACUAACCUCUUUUAAAGAGAUGACAUGACAUAGUAUCGAAAGGUUAAGGUAAAUUCAAAAUUUCAAAACCAAGGGAGGCCACAAAUUCAAAACCAAGGGAGCCGCUCAUAGGCUCGACACAGCACUGGAAGAUUACAAGAAACACUUCCAAAUAUUACAAUAGAGAAACCAAUUCACAGUUCAACCCAUAUGGUUGGUGACAAAGUCCAAAAUUACUCAAAUACCUUCAAAUGAUUCAUUGGUUGUGUUAGCUGUAAAGCCCAAGAAUUAAAGAAAAUCAUUUACACUCUUAAUAGAAGUUAUAGAAACUAGACAAGAUGAAUUCAUAAAUUCAAGAAAGAAAAGCCAAUAGAGAAAGUCCUACCAGGCGCUCUUAAUAGAAGCUAUAGAAACUAGAGAAGAUGAAUUCAUAAAUUCAAGAAUGAAAAGCGAAAGAGAAAGUCAUACCAGGCUCAAUGCUAUGCAACACC
rnacentral:lncRNA from 1 species